UACAGAGGCCCCUAGCGUUGUUCGGAAUUACUGGGCUUAAAGCGAGUGUAGGCGGCGGCAUAAGUCAGAUGUGAAAGCCCGGGGCCUAACCCCGGAACUGCAUUUGAUACUGUGUUGCUUGAGUACGGUAGAGGAGAGUGGAAUUCCUGGUGUAGGAGUGAAAUCCGUAGAUAUCAGGAGGAAUACCAAUGGCGAAGGCAACUCUCUGGCCCGAUACUGACGCUGAGACUCGAAAGCGUGGGGAGCAAACAGG
rnacentral:rRNA from 1 species